GAUGAACGCUGGCUACAGGCUUAACACAUGCAAGUCGAGGGGAAACGACGGGGAAGCUUGCUUCCCCGGGCGUCGACCGGCGCACGGGUGAGUAACGCGUAUCCAACCUGCCUCUGACUGAGGGAUAACCCGUCGAAAGUCGGCCUAAUACCUCAUGGCAUCGUCUGCGGGCAUCCAACGACGAUUAAAGAUUUCAUCGGUCAGGGAUGGGGAUGCGUCUGAUUAGCUUGUUGGCGGGGUAACGGCCCACCAAGGCUACGAUCAGUAGGGGUUCUGAGAGGAAGGGCCCCCACAUUGGAACUGAGACACGGUCCAAACUCCUACGGGAGGCAGCAGUGAGGAAUAUUGGUCAAUGGGCGGGAGCCUGAACCAGCCAAGUAGCGUGCAGGAUGACGGCCCUAUGGGUUGUAAACUGCUUUUAUGCGGGGAUAAAGUGAGGGACGUGUCCUUCAUUGCAGGUACCGCAUGAAUAAGGACCGGCUAAUUCCGUG
rnacentral:rRNA from 1 species